CACCAAAGGUACAGAGAAAUUCCUUAGUGCGUGUUUGCUCAGUGAAUUCUCUCCAAUCCUCUUGUGUUAAGGAAAAUGGCUUACUUAAGUUCAAAUGUUUUUCUUCUUCUUGGUCUUGUCUUUGCUGUUGUUGCUCUCAUUUCAUCCGAGAGAUCAGCUCGUGAGCAAGUUCUUUCUCAAACCUAUAAGAGUGAUGCAACGCUGGUGACCAACACUAAUGCAGAGCUUCGAAACGAGGAACGUUCCUUCCUACGAAACCAGAGGCACAGGAAUAGCACGAUGAUGAGAUGUCGAGAUACAUGAAAGUAGUUGAAACUUGAAACUAAAACCUAACAUGAUUAGAUUAUUCUAUGUCCUAGGAUGAUAUCUUUAUGGGUCUGUCUUAAUAAUAUGAAUAUGUAGCUACCUAUUUAAGAUUGUAUGUCAAUAAGAUAUUUGAGGUUCGAUUCUUGCCUGUACCAAAAAACCAAAUAAUAUCUUAGUUUGUUGAUAAAAA